AUACUUACCCAGCAGGGAAGAUGCAAUGAUCAUGAAGGUGGUUUUCCCAGGACGAGGCUCUGGAUGUGCUGUUCCCUAUGAUUUCCUCAAAUGGGAGAAACUAGACUGCAUAGCUUGUGGUAAUGGGUGACUGUGUUUGCACUUGCCCCUG
rnacentral:snRNA from 1 species